AGAGUUUGAUCCUGGCUCAGAACGAACGCUGGCGGCAGGCUUAACACAUGCAAGUCGAACGCACCGCAAGGUGAGUGGCAGACGGGUGAGUAACGCGUGGGAACGUGCCCUUCAGUUCGGGAUAACCCAGGGAAACUUGGGCUAAUACCGGAUACGUGCGAGAGCAGAAAGAUUCAUCGCUGAAGGAUCGGCCCGCGUCUGAUUAGCUAGUUGGUAGGGUAAUGGCCUACCAAGGCGACGAUCAGUAGCUGGUCUGAGAGGAUGAUCAGCCACAUUGGGACUGAGACACGGCCCAAACUCCUACGGGAAGCAGCAGUGGGGAAUAUUGGACAAUGGGCGCAAGCCUGAUCCAGCCAUGCCGCGUGAGUGAUGAAGGCCUUAGGGUUGUAAAGCUCUUUCGUCCGGGACGAUAAUGACGGUACCGGAAGAAGAAGCCCCGGCUAACUUCGUGCCAGCAGCCGCGGUAAUACGAAGGGGGCUAGCGUUGUUCGGAAUCACUGGGCGUAAAGGGCGCGUAGGCGGCCUGAUAAGUCGGGGGUGAAAGCCUGUGGCUCAACCACAGAAUUGCCUUCGAUACUGUCGGGCUUGAGACCGGAAGAGGUAAGUGGAACUGCGAGUGUAGAGGUGAAAUUCGUAGAUAUUCGCAAGAACACCAGUGGCGAAGGCGGCUUACUGGUCCGGUUCUGACGCUGAGGCGCGAAAGCGUGGGGAGCAAACAGGAUUAGAUACCCCCGUAGUCC
rnacentral:rRNA from 1 species